rnacentral:rRNA from 1 species
GAUGAACGCUGGCGGCGUGCCUAAUACAUGCAAGUCGAGCGAACAGACGAGGAGCUUGCUCCUCUGACGUUAGCGGCGGACGGGUGAGUAACACGUGGAUAACCUACCUAUAAGACUGGGAUAACUUCGGGAAACCGGAGCUAAUACCGGAUAAUAUAUUGAACCGCAUGGUUCAAUAGUGAAAGACGGUUUUGCUGUCACUUAUAGAUGGAUCCGCGCCGCAUUAGCUAGUUGGUAAGGUAACGGCUUACCAAGGCAACGAUGCGUGGCCGACCUGAGAGGGUGAUCGGCCACACUGGAACUGAGACACGGUCCAGACUCCUACGGGAGGCAGCAGUAGGGAAUCUUCCGCAAUGGGCGAAAGCUUGACGGAGCAACGCCGCGUGAGUGAUGAAGGUCUUCGGAUCGUAAAACUCUGUUAUUAGGGAAGAACAAAUGUGUAAGUAACUAUGCACGUCUGGACGGUACCUAAUCAGAAAGCCACGGCGAACUACGU